rnacentral:lncRNA from 1 species
AGUCCGGGAGUGCGGAGGGGCAGAAAGGUAGACAGUGCGUGCGGGAAGAGGGGAUGGGGGUGGGGAGGCGAGGGCGGUCAGUGGGUUGAGAGGAGUGGGGAGAAGAUUUAGGGCGAGAGAGGUGCCAUCGUGCUGGGGAAGGCGGGACUAGGAGAGGUAAAAGAAUGGGGAGAGAAAUGGGAGGGAGAGAAGGAAGCUGAGGGAGAUUUGAGGAGAGAAGGCGCUUGAGGGGGAACCAGGAGGGGAGAAGGCUUGUGAGGGGGAAAUGUGAGAGGAGAAGGGGCGCGAGGGGGAACAGCGAGGGGAGAAGGGGUCCCGCCUCCUGGCCGCGCCGCCCUAGGUGUCAAGUUCUGCACAUUUUUUCUGUGGGAGAAAUUGUGGGCCAAGUGGGUCUGUCUCAGCAUUUUAUGUCUUAUUAAGGAUUGUAUCUCUAGGCCUUAGCAUAGUACAUUCAACAGGUAAGAUAUUCAAUAAAUAUCACUUUAUGAGACAAUUCAUGCAUUUUACAAAUGUUUAUUGAUAAUCAAUGUAUGUCAUUUUUACAGGUUGUGGGGCUAGACAAGAAGGAAAAAAAUCACUGUCCUCAUGGAAGUUAAAUUGUACUGACAAAGGAGGAAAAUGUCAGGGAGUUAACAAUUCAGUCUCUGUGGCUUCCUCCUGUCCUCUCCCUGAAACUGAGAUCCAGCCAAUCUGCACAUUUAUUCUGAGAGUGGCCCCACUUUAAUGACUACACCCAGCUGUCUACACACCAGGAGGGGAGGGAACUGUAUCCUGAGGCACCAACCCGAUUACCCACCCAACAGCCACAGGGACUUCCAGUGACUGGGGCAUCAUCCUCAAUGCCACCAACCCCUCUCCUUCCUGUGGCUUUUCUAACUGGAACUGGAACUCAGAAAGUACAUUAAUCACCAAUUUGGGAAGCUAUAGGAAAGUAUGUUUUCUAAUAUACAGUGAGAGAAUGUGACUGAUAAAACCAAUUUUCUUGAGACUUUCUCCCUGGAAAGUGAAUAUAUGUAUUCAUAGGGCCUUCACAAGCACAGACUAACAAGCAAAGAGCUACAUUCACUGGGAAGGAAGACUCAAAAGUAAGUGAAAAAUAAUAGUUAACCUUUAGAUGUUGUGCAAUAAAUUAUUUUUAAUUACAUUAAAUCAAAAUAGUGUUAAAAUAUUUUCAGGUAAACCUAGUAUAUUUACUAAUAAAUUUAAGUCUUCAUAAAUAUAAAGAUAGAUCAAUGUAAAUGUAAAAAUCAUUUGUUAAACUCCAGAGAUUAUAUAAACAAAAGGUGAACCUAAUGUAAAACUGUGGACUUUAGUUGAAAAUAAUGUGUCACUAUUCUUUCAUGGGUUGUAACAAAUGUGCCACACUAAUGUAAGAUGUUAAUAAUAGCAGAAAUAGGGGGGAGAGAGGAGGGAUCUAGGAGCUCUCUGGAUUUUCCAUUUUAUUUUGUUAUAAAUCUAAAACUGUUCUUAAAAAUAAUGUCUGUUAAUUUUUUUUUUAAAAAGGAAAGAAGCACUGAUACAUGCUAUGACAUGGAAGAACUCUAAAAAUAUUAGGCUAAGGGAAAGAAGCCACAUACACAUACACAUACACAGAUAGUUUAUGGUUCCAUUUAUAUAAAAUAUUCAGAAUAGAAAAGUUCAUAGGGACAGAAAGUAGAUUACCUGGGGAGUAGGGGGUGAAAAAUGGGUAGUAACUGCUUAAUGGGUAUGAAGUUUCGUUUAGGGCGAUGAAAAUAUUCUGGAACUAGAAAGUGAUGAUGAUGGUCACACAGCAAUGUCACAUAUACAAUACCACAGAACUGUACACUUUAAAAUGGUUAAAGGGUUUUAUUUUAUGUUAUGUAUUUUACCACAAUUGAAAAAAAUGUUUAUUAAAAUUAAUGUGUAAACAUUUGUGGAAGAAUAAUGUGUAGUUUCUAACAUUUAUGUGUUUAAAUUUAUGAGUUUAAAAAUAGAAAAAAAAAUGAUGGCCCAGAAGAGCAAGUUCAGAGUGCUGUUCAUGAGUGAUCCGCAUGGGACCGCGAUGCCUCUGACGUCUGCCAUCCUGGAGAGCAGCAGAGCGUCACUAGCAGGUCCUCGUCUUCUCACUUCAUAACAUUCUUUCCAAAAGUCUUGUUGACAUUCUUCUGUCUUCCACAUAUAGUUUAUCUUCUUGAACUCAUUAUAACUUUAAAAUAUUUUUACUGUGUUACAUGUACUGCUUAUAUUUGUUUAUUUUAUAAUUAUUAAUUUUAAAUUGUGCACUUUAUUUUGCUCUAACAAUAAAAUUGACAUGUUCGUAUAGAUGAUACAUAAUUUUUCGCUUGGAUCGGAAAGUGUAAAAUUUUUUUCCUGACUCAAUUUCCUGUAUCAACUUUCUCAAAAAGUCUGGAGGAGGGAUUUUACAACACUUCAUAAGAUUUUCAAGAUUAUAUUUUAGUGAUCAGAUUUUUCUCCCCCUUAUGCAGCUGUAUUUUCUUUCACUUUUUUUUAACUGUAUAUAUAUAUUUUUUAUUUUCUCAGUUCCACCUAUGUGGACAAUUAAUUGUCACCAUCUUAAAUAAACUGAUCAGGCCAGGUGUGGUGGCUCAUGCCUGUAAUUCCAGCACUUUGGGAGGCCGAGGCGAGUGGAUCAUUUGAGGCCAGAAGUUUGAGACCAGCCUGGCCAACAAAGUGAAACCCCAUCUCUACUAAAAAUACAAAAAUAGGCUGGGCAUGGUGGCACAUGCCUGUAAUCCCAGCUACUCAUGAGACUGAGGCAAGAGAAUUGCUUGAACCCGGGAGGCAGAGGUUGCAGUCAGCUGAGAUCAUGCCACUGCACUCCAGCCUGGGUGACAGAGUGAGACUUUGUCUCAGAAAAAAAAAAAAAAAAAAAAAAAGAAAAGAAAAAAAAAAAAAAAAAGAAACUGACCAAAUCCUUGAUUAUUCCUUUCAUUUCUUCCUGUAGGCUAAAUUGUAUUUCCCAUGGGAUUUUCUAAGGGUCCUUGAUUAUCAGAUGUCAGAUUGUGAUUGAUAGGCCGGAUCUCAGAGAACCUGGAACAGGAUAGGUCUCUGAAAAGAUCAGUCUCCAGCAGAUUUUCCUGAGUAGAAUUAAAACACCUUGAGUUAGUACUUCAAUGAUCAUGGCAGCCCCCUUCAAGCAGUUAGAGAAAUGAGAAAUGAUCAGGACUCAGAAUAUCAUUCUGGUUUCCAGAAUCCCAGAUUGUUAUUUUCCUGAUACGUUGGAGAUGUUCUUGUGGGUACAGAAAAAAUGUCCAGAGAACCUACAUUAGGGAACCAAAGAAUGAAGCGGGGUGCAGAGUCCCAGAGAAGGAAGUUUUGGGGAAGGUGUAGAUAGGGCACUUGCCAAUCAUGUUAUAAGAGGAGAGGUAUUCAGAGGCACGGUCAGGGGGAUUCUGACUUGUUCAGGGGCCACCUUCAAGGGGAUGGGGCUUGGAAGAGAGGGGAUGGCCCAGAACUCAUUUCUUUUGCAAUCCAUUGCCUAAAACUCACUGUCAGGUGACACAGAGAUGACUCUUUCUUUGCAACAUGUGCUUGGCAACCUCCGGGACCCAUCGCGCCCUGUUCCCAGUCUCCACCUCUCAGUACCAGCUCCCUGACAGGAGUUCCCUCUGGCCCAUAGAGCAGAUAGUCAGAUCUCUGUGGGAUAUCUGGCUGCCUGAAUGUCCAUGGAUCACACGCUUGUUCUGUUCAGAAGAAAUCAGUCUCAGGUGAGCUGUGUUUGAAGCCAAUGUCACAUUCACUGUAAAGAAAGAGAAUCCAUUCUGAUAAUUAAUCAAUAUAAUUUCAUUCUAUUAACAGCCAAACAGGAAGACAAGUGUUUCACGGACAUAAGAAAUUUAAAGUGGAAGCACUUUCUAGAGCACACAAAACAGCCUCCCUAACACAUGAGAAGUCACCAGCAACACAGAAAUCACCAACAAGUAGGUCACCACAUUUUUAAAGAUCAUAGGAAAUUGUUCACGCCAACAAAUCUCAGUGAACCUCAGCUCUCAGCCUUGAAAACAAGGAUGGCUGUACUACUCACUUUUUUCUUCUUCUUCCCUAACCAGAUCACUGGGGAAUGGGCAGCAGGAAAUCAAAUCAUUAUCUUUUAAUCAUUUUGCUUCUAUUACAAGUGGAAACACUGACCUCAUGCAUCACUGAGCCUGGAUUGCAUGAUAAGCCCUGGGCUUUCCUGUUUCUCAUGUUUCCUUAGUUACUGGAUAUUCACUGACUGCCUCCCAUAGGUGACUUGUGAAAAGGGAGGCUCGGGGAAGUACGCAGUACGGUUCCCACUGCAGUGUGCUCCGCUGUUUCUGUUUCCCUGACUUACCUCUUUUCAGCUCCUCUUCCUGGGCAGGCCUACAGCCACAGCAAGAAGCAAUCCCCAAACAAGCAGUGUUUUCCACAAAAACGUCAUCCUGGACUCUAAAAUGGAAACCCAAGAAUCCCUUGAAACUGUGAAACUGGGACAAUAUUAAGAUUGUACUUUUCAUCUGAGCAGCUUCUAGGCUGGAGAGAAGGGAGAGAAUUUGGCCUCCCAGGAAGCAGUUGGCCUGCUCCUCCCUGCUCUGGAGAUGCAGAGGAGAGAAUGCAAGUAUUUCAUGUUUGCUCGUCUCAGAAAUGUACACAUGCACAGACAAGUUUUCCCUUCUCUCUUCCAACUAUAUCACACAAUCACUGGAAUGACUUGAGGAGGAAAGGAUAAAAUUACUCAAGCCGCAACCAUGAAGAUGGUAUUAAUAAAAAUCAGUUUCUAAUCCAGAAGAAAAUCCUCCAUGAGGGGGAAAACACAAAGUUCUGUAAUUUAAUUGUUUUCACAUCAGAAGAAGAGAAUUUAAAGAGAGAGAGUGAAAACAGGGUCAAUUACGAGAAUUUAGUGUGUAUCCAAUGAUAAAAAUAAUUGCAGGGCGCUAGUUGAGGGUGUCAGAGAGAAACUCAGAGGAGUAGAAUCCCUGGGUGUCCUGAAAACCAGCUUUGCAGAGGAUAGCAGGAGACCUCGUCAGAGAUCAGCAAAUAAAAAUCACAAAGGAAGAAGAGCAAUACAAUGAGUAAGUCUGAGUUGGUCUUCAUAUUUAUUUUCCAAACCUGAAGGAACAUAAGGAAUCACCAACCUGAGAGAGAAAAAGUUGCGAUUUUCUCCUCGCCCAAAAAGGGGAUGCUGAUGGAACAAGUGACGUCCACAGCGGAGAUGUUUGUGACCCUUAGCAAUGUCUGCACGUGGAACAGCCCGUGGCUGCCUUGAGUCAGGGCCUGGGAAGAUGAUGGUAUCGUCUUUCCUUCCAUGUCCCUCCAUGGCACGUGGGGCUGUGGGAACCACCCAUCUGAAGAGCA